rnacentral:rRNA from 1 species
GAUGAACGCUAGCGGCAGGCUUAACACAUGCAAGUCGAGGGGUAUAGGUUUUCGGACCUAGAGACCGGCGCACGGGUGCGUAACGCGUAUGCAAUCUACCUUUCACAGAGGGAUAGCCCAGAGAAAUUUGGAUUAAUACCUCAUAGUAUAGCAGUUUCGCAUGAACCCACUAUUAAAAUCUCCGCGGCUAAACAUGAGCAUGCGUCCCAUUAGCUAGAUGGUAAGGUAACGGCUUACCAUGGCUACGAUGGGUAGGGGUCCUGAGAGGGAGAUCCCCCACACUGGUACUGAGACACGGACCAGACUCCUACGGGAGGCAGCAGUGAGGAAUAUUGGUCAAUGGACGCAAGUCUGAACCAGCCAUGCCGCGUGCAGGAUGACGGUCCUAUGGAUUGUAAACUGCUUUUGUACGAGAAGAAACAACAUUACGUGUAAUGUCUUGACGGUAUCGUAAGAAUAAGGAUCGGCUAACUCCGUGCCAGCAGCCGCGGUAACAC